GAUGAACGCUGGCGGCGUGCUUAACACAUGCAAGUCGAACGGUGAAGCUCCAGCUUGCUGGAGUGGAUCAGUGGCGAACGGGUGAGUAACACGUGAGCAACCUGCCCCUGACUCUGGGAUAACAGCCGGAAACGGCUGCUAAUACCGGAUAUGCACCAUGAACGCAUGUUCUGGGGUGGGAAAGAUUUUUCGGUUGGGGAUGGGCUCGCGGCCUAUCAGCUUGUUGGUGAGGUAAUGGCUCACCAAGGCGUCGACGGGUAGCCGGCCUGAGAGGGUGACCGGCCACACUGGGACUGAGACACGGCCCAGACUCCUACGGGAGGCAGCAGUGGGGAAUAUUGCACAAUGGGCGAAAGCCUGAUGCAGCAACGCCGCGUGAGGGAUGACGGCCUUCGGGUUGUAAACCUCUUUUAGCAGGGAAGAAGCGAGAGUGACGGUACCUGCAGAAAAAGCGCCGGCUAACUACGUG
rnacentral:rRNA from 1 species